rnacentral:rRNA from 1 species
GACGAACGCUGGCGGCGUGCCUAAUACAUGCAAGUUGAGCGAUGAAGCUUGGUGCUUGCACCAAUUUGAAGAGCAGCGAACGGGUGAGUAACGCGUGGGGAAUCUGCCUUUGAGCGGGGGACAACAUUUGGAAACGAAUGCUAAUACCGCAUAACAACUUUAAACAUAAGUUUUAAGUUUGAAAGAUGCAAUUGCAUCACUCAAAGAUGAUCCCGCGUUGUAUUAGCUAGUUGGUGAGGUAAAGGCUCACCAAGGCGAUGAUACAUAGCCGACCUGAGAGGGGGAUCGGCCACAUUGGGACUGAGACACGGCCCAAACUCCUACGGGAGGCAGCAGUAGGGAAUCUUCGGCAAUGGACGAAAGUCUGACCGAGCAACGCCGCGUGAGUGAAGAAGGGUUUCGGAUCGUAAAACUCUGUUGGUAGAGAAGAACGUUGGUGAGAGUGGAAAGCUCAUCAAGUGACGGUAACUACCCAGAAAGGGACGGCUAACUACGUG